ACUUUGGCUGUUUGCAAAAUUCGGAAGCAGAUCUGAAUUUCAAUGUGAGCCCAGGAUCCACAUGGUGGCUGGGAGAGCAGUGAGUGAGUGGAUGGGCUGCUGUUCCAGCAGAAGUGCCAGUGGAAUACGCACUUUGUCCCCAUCUGGCACUGUAGACGUUACCUGGAAAAGGUGUAGAGAUGGAAAAAUCCUUGAGAAAGUUAUUGCAGAAGGAAUGGUGGAGGGUCAUUAUGGUAGCAGAUGACCAGCAAGGAGACAGAUGGAUGGCAUACAACAGAUCAUUGGAAGGUCAGUUACUGA